AUUGCGCAGAGAACAAACACCAAACUGAGUGGAAAACGUGGUUACAAUUUCCACAUCUAUUUCUCAUCACUUUUCAACAACUAAGAUCUCUUGAAGCUAUCCUCAGACAACCCUCAACUGUCAUCACCUCUGGAUGUUCUACUACCACCAGACCUGCAGUAAUUCAGCUGAAUCCCUUGAAGCUAUUCUCAGACAACCCUCAACUGUCAUCACCUCUGGAUGUUCUACUACCACCAGACCUGCAGUAAUUCAGCUGACCUCUCCCUCUCCAGCACACAACUAAGAUCUGCUGCUUCUGGUGAACCUUCUAAGAGGAAGACAAUUAACAAAGUCAGAAAUGGCAACUGCUGGAAACAGACGUAGCAAGGAAAUUGGGCGUGAUAUGUCAAAAAAACUAGGAAACCUCAAGCAUGACAUCAAGUCAUUCAAGGAACUCUUUAAAAAUAAAAAAACAUCUUUACAAGAAAUAGCAAAUCACUUUAAAUGGAAAGCUUCUGAUAUUAAAAAAAUAAAGGACCAAGCUGCCAUAAGGAGGAAUGUUGGGGUUGGAAUGGCGGUAUAUGCCAGCACAGUGGGAUUAGGUCUAUCUUUGUUUACUGGGGGCCUCUCCCUGCUCGUUGCAGGGGCAGU